GGGAAAGUAGUUAACUAUAACAUUUAAUUUGCAAUUAAAAAGUACUAUAUUGUAGUCUUUCUCA